UUUUCUUUCAGUUAUUGUAAAAAAAUUCUUUUGUUCUCUGGGAACGUCAUUUUUAAAAUGUUAUGGAAUGAUUGAAAGGACGACUAUUCACUUGUUACAAUUGCUCCAAAUUAUAACAAGGUUUAUCGUUUAAGAAUAUAUUACAUUGGUUAGGGUUCAUCAGUAAUCACGGACAAAUAAAACGCAACUUUGGAAGAUGGUCAAAAAAGAAUUGUUACCUCAAAGAAUGCAUAGCAAAAUACAAGAUGCAAGAUCAAACUGCAACCAUAGUAGUAGAAGAUGCAUUGUUGAGUUUUUCAAGCGCGAACAACAUAUAGAUGAUGAGUUUUAUAAAGAAUUAAGAAAAAUUCUAAAAAGG